rnacentral:rRNA from 1 species
UCUCGCUGACGAGCGGCGGACGGGUGAGUAAUACUUAGGAAUCUACCUAGUAGUGGGGGAUAGCUCGGGGAAACUCGAAUUAAUACCGCAUACGACCUACGGGAGAAAGGGGGCAACUUGUUGCUCUCGCUAUUAGAUGAGCCUAAGUCGGAUUAGCUAGAUGGUGGGGUAAAGGCCUACCAUGGCGACGAUCUGUAGCUGGUCUGAGAGGAUGAUCAGCCACACCGGGACUGAGACACGGCCCGGACUCCUACGGGAGGCAGCAGUGGGGAAUAUUGGACAAUGGGGGCAACCCUGAUCCAGCCAUGCCGCGUGUGUGAAGAAGGCCUUUUGGUUGUAAAGCACUUUAAGCAGUGAAGAAGACUCCAUGGUUAAUACCCAUGGACGAUGACAUUAGCUGCAGAAUAAGCACCGGCUAACUCUGUGCCAGCAGCCGCGGUAAUACAGAGGGUGCAAGCGUUAAUCGGAAUUACUGGGCGUAAAGCGAGCGUAGGUGGCUUGAUAAGUCAGAUGUGAAAGCCCCGGGCUCAACCUGGGAACGGCAUCUGAUACUGUUAGGCUAGAGUAGGUGAGAGGAAGGUAGAAUUCCAGGUGUAGCGGU